UCACGUGAGCACAGACCCACCUCAGGUCGAGCUCAUCGUCACUAACACGAGCACUGAGACGGACAGCUAACAGCUAACGCUAACAGGUUGUGUCACAUCGUUGUUGUUGUUUAUGACUGACGUGUGCAGAGCUGCAAACACCCGGAUGGGUGUGCAGCUUUUUAAAAGAUGACAAACCCCCUCGAGGAUGAGAAACGCCACGAGGACACGAGGAGGAGGCGUGCUGCAAAUCCCAUGAAAGCAGCAGACCCACAGUAAAUGUUCGCUACACCACCGUCUGAUAGAUCCUCUCAUCCCUCUGCACCGCCCAGCCCCGCCACUGUUAGUUUCACCUCAGGUCACCUCGGCUUGCUCGGACACCGUCGCCAAAGUGUUUCUGAACCAUCAGCAUCAUCCAGGUUUCCAUCUUUUCCUUCCAAAGUCCAACCGAAAGCUCUUCUCCUUCUUUCUUUAACUCUUUAAUCUCCACAUGGAAGCAAAGUGGAAUCAGCUGCUGCUGUCUGACUGAAAGCAUCAGGAGACGUCUGUGGCAGAACCUGACGUGUUACGUGGAGGUCAGAGGUCGUGUAGAGGACCCAGCUGCAGGAUGCUGAGGCAGGCAGAAACCGACAUCAGAAGGUGGAUGAAGCAGGAGAACAUGGUGUGUUUGUAGGGCAGGCAUCACAGAGGAGACGGAGCAGAGGGGACGAAAGCAGGACACGGCCGAUGGAGUGUGCAAAGAGAGGAGGUGGAGGAUGGUAGAGCGGGAGGAUGGUUGGUUAGUUGGUUGGAGGGGGAGGAUGAAGAGACACGAUAACAGCAGGAGGGAGGAAACAGCAGAUGAGAUGAAGACUGCAAAGACUCGCGGGGGGAGUAGAAGGUUCAUGGAGCUGGCAUUUGGAGGACAGGAGCAGGCUAACGAAGGAAAGGUGAAACUGAGACUAAUGAAUGAAGGGGGGGGGUGAAGUCACGAGCUCGCCCUCAGUGCCCGUCGGCCUCCUCAGGCUCGAUGAUUAUUGACGUGUUUCUGAAAGAAAUGCAUCGUGGGAAAUGUGGUCGAAACAUGGCAUGAAACUGUUCUAAGAUGUUUUCUCCAAUAAAUAAAUGGAAAUGAUAUUUAUUAUGGAGAGCAGUAACUGCAAGCCAAGGACACAGGUAACAACUUCUAACACUGUAAACAUUGUGUGUAUAUCAUUUAUUUGUACUUUAAUAAGAUCGAUAGUUCCUUUGCACUGAACGGGACUGUGUAUGAUUUCGUUGUGUUUUUUCAAAAUAAAGAUUCUGAUAAAAACUAAAGGAUGUGGAGGAUUAACGAGGUAAAUAUAUCAGAGGACAGAUGCUCAACCUGAGGCGGGAAUAUCAGUCAGCUACAAACCUCUGCUCAGUGAACGGAUGUCUUUAUAGAAAUGUGUUUUUAGGGAACGUGGGUGCACCGUGAUUGGCCCACCUGUAAGUCCGUCAGCUGUUUGAACAUGUGAGCGCAGGAAAGCAUCAAAAACAUUAGUAAAAAAAAUUAGAGACAGCUGUGAUCGUCAUCCAAAUCCCAGCGAGGCGACAGGCGGUGCCGACAUCCAGCAGUAACAAGAACCAUCAAAAGUUCCUGUGAGAAAGAAACGAGUACGAGGAAAUAAAAAAACCCACAGCGGGGAUGUUUCACAGCUGCAGAGAGCGCGCACCCCAGAGGAAGCUUUGAGGUUUUAUUCAUUUAAGUAAGUGAUUGAAGUAAAAGCACCACCUUCCUCGACCUAAACACCGACGCUUUUGUUCGUGAAGGAGCGGCAGGUGUCCAGACCUGAACCUCGACCUCUGGGGCUUUGCAGGGCCACCAUCCACCCCGAACACCUCCAACUCACUCGUCCACGACAGCUGAAAUGUGACGUCUUUAUUUUAACCGUAUUUAUUCCCACAACAAAGCGUCUCACUGGGAUGUUUGAGAUCAGCGGCGUGUUUAACCUGCAGAACCUGACGGGUCAUCUUUGGACGUGUUUUCACUGAUUAGCGGUAACAGAUGACAUGAUUCACUUCCUACAUUUUUAUUUCUGUAUUUUUAUUUCUGCACAAACAAACAUGUCUGACUCUGACCUCGAGCUACAGAUCACAUGACCCUGAGCCGAGAGCUUCCUCACUCCUUCAUCCUGCUUCGUCUUCAUCGGCUUUUAUUGUCCUUUAUAAUCAUGUUUUUAUCAUUUCUGUUGUUUUUCACAUGUUAUUUGUACUGUUUUUGUAACUUUGUGGCUUUUAUGAACAUCCCGGUUCAGUGUUUCCACGUCUGUCAAAGCACACUUGUAUAAAUAAAGUUAUUAUUUAUUGCUGUUGUUAUUGAUUUGGGGAGAAAAGGGAAAGGAACAGGAAGUGAUGGGAGGGCGAAGCAGAGCUGUAGGAGAGAAGGAGGAGGAGGAAAAAGGAGGCGAGAACACGAGGAUAGAGGAGUGAGAGGAGGAGGUGAGGCAGGUGGGUAAACCAGGAUCAACUAAAGGCCUCUGUGCUGGAAGAGGGCGUGGCCAGCUUGACCUUCCUCUGCGCCCUCCUCUGCCUCCACCCCCGUAGAGCCCCGAGUGUUCAUGGGAACUUUCUGCAGCCAAUAAGAGCUCACUGGAAACCAGCAUGUAGACCAAUGAGAUCCUCUGGAAACCACCGACCCUUCCUUCACUCGUCCUCCUCCUCUUCUUCGUCCCCUUUUUCUUCUUCUUCUAAGUAUUUGCAUUCAGGCCCGUUGCGUGA